rnacentral:rRNA from 1 species
AUGAACGCUAGCGGCAGGCCUAACACAUGCAAGUCGAGGGGGAAGUUACUUUCGGGUGACUGAGACCGGCGUACGGGUGCGUAACGCGUAUACAAUCUGCCUUUCACUGGGGGAUAGCCCGAAGAAAUUUGGAUUAAUACCCCAUAGUAUAUAGGGACGGCAUCGUUUUUAUAUUAAAGCUUAGGUGGUGAAAGAUGAGUAUGCGUUCUAUUAGCUAGUUGGAGAGGUAACGGCUCCCCAAGGCGAUGAUAGAUAGGGGUUCUGAGAGGGAUGUCCCCCACACUGGUACUGAGAUACGGACCAGACUCCUACGGGAGGCAGCAGUGAGGAAUAUUGGACAAUGGUCGGAAGACUGAUCCAGCCAUGUCGCGUGCAGGAUGAAGGUCUUAUGGAUUGUAAACUGCUUUUGUAAGGGAAGAAUAAGGGCUACGCGUAGUUUGAUGACGGUACCUUACGAAUAAGCAUCGGCUAACUCCGUG